rnacentral:lncRNA from 1 species
UUUUUUCUUUAUGUAGCGUUGGUUGGCAGUUUAAAGAAAGAUGUGUCUGCUCGAGAGAAACAAGCUCUUAAACUAGCAGCUGAGGUGGACAAGCUCAGACAAGACGUCAGACACAAAGAUGCCAAGCUCACAAGCAUGAUGGACAAGCUGAAAGACACCCAGAAGCAUCAGAAUGAGCUACUUGCCAGACAGAAUGAAGUAGAAUCGCUCAAGAAAGAACAGGCUUCUCUGCUGACAGACAUAGACAGGCUGAAGCAGCUUCAUCAGCAGACGCAGCAGAGAGAACAGAGAGUUCAAGAAGAGCUCAAACACACCCAGUCAAGGUUUGACCGUUUUCGUGACCAGAUUGUCAAGACUGUGCAUGUUUCUGACAAAGAAUCAGACCAAAAGGUGUUGGACUGUUUAACUGAGUUAAUGGAACAGAUGGCGAUGUACAAAACAAAAGUGGAUGACUUUGAAAUGAAACUCAAAGAGGAAGCUCACACACAGAGGGAAAUGUUGGAUGAGACCCAGAAAUUUAGAGCCAGACUGCAAGAAUGUCAGGUAUUAGUAGUUGGAAACAUUGAUCGAUGUACAAAACAAAAGUGCAUGACUUUGAAAUGAAACUCAAAGAGGAAGCUCACACACAGAGGGAAAUGUUGGAUGAGACCCAGAAAUUUACAGCCAGACUGCAAGAAUGUCAGGUAUUAGUAGUUGGAAACAUUGAUUAUGCCAUGUAAUGCUGUAUGUUUGUGUUUCAGCAUUGCACAGCAUGUUGAACAGCUAUAUAAUAUCUCUUUCCAUUUGAAUAUAGAGACGAGUACAAGAUGCAUGUGUUGCGGACAAUGUUCUGAGGG